GUUGUUGAUGGUAAAAAUGAAACAAAAAUGGAGGUUGUUUUCUAUGUAUACGUGUGUUUGUGUGUUUUUAUAUAUAUAUUUUUGUGUGUGUUUUGAAGAGAAAAGUGGAAUAAAUAAAAUAUGCUUGUAUAUUUAUGAAUAUGUGUGUGGGUUCGCAAAGAAAAAAUAUUUAUGAGUUGUAAAAAAUAAAUAUAUGUGUACUUUGAA
rnacentral:lncRNA from 1 species